rnacentral:rRNA from 1 species
GACGAACGCUGGCGGCGUGCUUAACACAUGCAAGUCGAACGGAAAGGCCCUGCUUUUGUGGGGUGCUCGAGUGGCGAACGGGUGAGUCACACGUGAGUAACCUGCCCUUGACUUUGGGAUAACUUCAGGAAACUGGGGCUAAUACCGGAUAGGAGCUCCUGCUGCAUGGUGGGGGUUGGAAAGUUUCGGCGGUUGGGGAUGGACUCGCGGCUUAUCAGCUUGUUGGUGGGGUAGUGGCUUACCAAGGCUUUGACGGGUAGCCGGCCUGAGAGGGUGACCGGCCACAUUGGGACUGAGAUACGGCCCAGACUCCUACGGGAGGCAGCAGUGGGGAAUAUUGCACAAUGGGCGGAAGCCUGAUGCAGCAACGCCGCGUGCGGGAUGACGGCCUUCGGGUUGUAAACCGCUUUCGCCUGUGACGAAGCGUGAGUGACGGUAAUGGGUAAAGAAGCACCGGCUAACUACGUGCCAGCAGCCGCGGUGAUACGUGGGGUGCGAGCGUUGUCCGGAUUUAUUGGGCGUAAAGGGCUCGUAGGUGGUUGAUCGCGUCGGAAGUGUAAUCUUGGGGCUUAACCCUGAGCGUGCUUUCGAUACGGGUUGACUUGAGGAAGGUAGGGGAGAAUGGAAUUCCUGGUGGAGCGGUGGAAUGCGCAGAUAUCAGGAGGAACACCAGUGGCGAAGGCGGUUCUCUGGGCCUUUCCUGACGCUGAGGAGCGAAAGCGUGGGGAGCGAACAGGCUUAGAUACCCUGGUAGUCCACGCUGUAAACGGUGGGUACUAGGUGUGGGGUCCAUUCCACGGGUUCCGUGCCGUAGCUAACGCUUUAAGUACCCCGCCUGGGGAGUACGGCCGCAAGGCUAAAACUCAAAGGAAUUGACGGGGCCCCGCACAAGCGGCGGAGCAUGCGGAUUAAUUCGAUGCAACGCGUAGAACCUUACCUGGGUUUGACAUGGAUCGGGAGCGCUCAGAGAUGGGUGUGCCUCUUUUGGGGUCGGUUCACAGGUGGUGCAUGGCUGUCGUCAGCUCGUGUCGUGAGAUGUUGGGUUAAGUCCCGCAACGAGCGCAACCCUUGUUCACUGUUGCCAGCACGUUAUGGUGGGGACUCAGUGGAGACCGCCGGGGUCAACUCGGAGGAAGGUGGGGAUGACGUCAAGUCAUCAUGCCCCUUAUGUCCAGGGCUUCACGCAUGCUACAAUGGCUGGUACAGAGAGUGGCGAGCCUGUGAGGGUGAGCGAAUCUCGGAAAGCCGGUCUCAGUUCGGAUUGGGGUCUGCAACUCGACCUCAUGAAGUCGGAGCCGCUAGUAAUCGCAGAUCAGCAACGCUGCGGUGAAUACGUUCCCGGGGCU